rnacentral:tRNA from 2 species
GCCCGGGUGGCGGAAUUGGUAGACGCAAGGGACUUAAAAUCCCUCGGGAUAAUAUCCCGUGCCGGUUCGACUCCGGCCCCGGGCACCA